AGCAGCCGCGGUAAUUCCAGCUCCAAUAGCGUAUAUUAAAGUUGUUGCAGUCAAAAAGCUCGUAGUUGAAUUUCGGGAUUGACACAUCGGUCGUGCCUUAAGGGGUGUGAACUGGCGUAGUCAAUUUCUCACCUUCUGGAGAACCGCGAUGUCCUUAAUUGGGUGCCGCGAGGAACCAGGACCUUUACUUUGAAAAAAUUAGAGUGUUUAAAGCAGGCAUUUUUGCUUGAAUACAUUUGCAUGGAAUAAUAAAAUAGGACGGCAUGAUUCUAUUUUGUUGGUUUCUAGGAUCACCGUAAUGAUUAAUAGGGAUAGUUGGGGGCAUUAGUAUUCAAUUGUCAGAGGUGAAAUUCUUGGAUUUAUUGAAGACUAACUACUGCGAAAGCAUUUGCCAAGGAUGUUUUCAUUAAUCAAGAACGAAAGUUAGGGGAUCGAAGACGAUCAGAUACCGUCGUAGUCUUAACCAUAAACUAUGCCGACUAGGAAUCAGACGAUGUUAAUUUUUUAAUGACUCGUUUGG
rnacentral:rRNA from 1 species